CAGAUCCACUGUCACUCUCUCUUUUUCUGCUACCUGCAGAUCCAGAUGUGGAAGUCUCAACUCCUCCUGUGCCAUAUCUACCUGCAUGCUGCCAUGCUUCCUGCCAUGAUGAUAAUGGACUAAACCUCUAAAACUAUGCCGUAUCACAUCAACUGUCUGUCUGUGGUGUUGGCAGCUCUUCUAACCAACUGUCUUCCCCUAACAAUCCAUCUCGGUGUCCCCCAGACCUACAUCAGAGACCUUUCAGAACUCCUCCUGUCCUGAAGCUUGGCGACAAGCACCUCUUCCCACGGAGUCAGUUCACAGUUCCCAAGCCUACUCUCUUUUGCCUAAAGUUCUACGGGUGUAGCAGAGGUAACGGAAGGUGAGGCAGAUAGCUGAGGAAGUUUUACAUUUU